GGAGGGGUGGCCGAGCGGACGAAGGCGGCAGUCUUGAAAACUGCUGAACCCUCCGGGGUUCCGUGGGUUCGAAUCCCACCCCCUCCG
rnacentral:tRNA from 1 species